UGUGACCUCAAAUCAGGUAGGACUACCCGCUGAACUUAAGCAUAUCAUAUAAGCGGAGGAAAAGAAACUAACAGGAUUCCCCUAAUAACUGCGAGUGAAACG
rnacentral:rRNA from 1 species